GGGCCCGCACAAGCGGUGGAGCAUGUGGUUUAAUUCGAUGAUACGCGAGGAACCUUACCUAGGCUUAAAUGUAGAUUGACGUAUUGGGAAACCAGUAUUUCUUCGGACAAUCUACAAGGUGCUGCAUGGUUGUCGUCAGCUCGUGCCGUGAGGUGUCGGGUUAAGUCCCAUAACGAGCGCAACCCCUAUCAUUAGUUGCUAACAUUUAGUUGAGGACUCUAAUGAAACUGCCCGCGUAAGCGGUGAGGAAGGUGGGGAUGACGUCAAAUCAUCACGGCCCUUACGUCUAGGGCUACACACGUGCUACAAUGGUAACUACAGAGGGAAGCCUAUCUGGGUGACAGUGAGCAAAUCCUUAAAAGUUAUCCCAGUUCGGAUUGAAGUCUGCAACUCGACUUCAUGAAGUUGGAAUCGCUAGUAAUCGG
rnacentral:rRNA from 1 species